CUCACAGGUUGACAGUGUCUGAGGUCCCUCACAGGUUGACAGUGUCUGAGGUCCCUCACAGGUUGACAGUGUCUGAGGUCCCUCACAGGUUGACAGUGUCUGAGGUCCCUCACAGGUUGACAGUGUCUAAGGUUCCUCAUAGGUGGACAGUGUCUAAGGUCCCUCACAGGUUGACAGUGGCUGAGGUUCCUCACAGGUGGACAGUGUCUGAGGUUCCUCACAGGUUGACAGUGUCUGAGGUCCCUCACAGGUGGACAGUGUCUAAGGUCCCUCACAGGUUGACAGUGUCUGAGGUCCCUCAC